UUUUCUACAUUAGUUUGUCUUUUAAAACUUUGGUUUUGGAUUUAGUUAACACUUCACUUCGCUAUUGUUAAAGUAGGUUUGAGUGACUUGUCUGUAACUAUUGAAUGUGCAGACUUGUAGCUGUUUUCUUGUUACCUUGAUUGUUUUGGGCAUGCAGUGAGACCACUUUUAGAACGAUGGAGCAGCUGAUACAAGCCUAUGGGAUGAGUGAGGACAUGACUACACAACAAGAAUGUUUAAACACUCAAGAUCAACCAGAGAUGGAGCAGCUGUUGGAAGACAAAGUACAAAAGGUACAAGCCUACGAGAUGAGUGAGGACAUGACGAUACAACAAGAAUGUUUUAACACUCAAGAUCAACCAGAGAUGGAGCAGCUGUUGGAAGACAAAGUACAAAAGGUACAAGCCUAUGGGAUGAGUGAGGACAUGACUACACAACAAGAAUGUUUAAACACUCAAGAUCAACCAGAGAUGGAGCAGCUGUUGGAAGACAAAGUACAAAAGGUACAAGCCUACAAGAUGAGUGAGGACAUGACUACACAACAAGAAUGUUUAAACACUCAAGAUCAACCAGAGAUGGAGCAGCUGUUGGAAGACAAAGUACAAAAUGUGCAAUCCUACGAGAUGAGUGAGGACAUGACUACACAACAAGAAUGUUUAAACACUCAAGAUCAACCAGAGGCGAGUGAACAUGCUGAGUCAGCCGUAUCAUCCUUGGUCCAUGAAGGGACGAAUAAGGAUUGUGAUGGGGAAAUUUCUGAAGAUACAGAUAGUGACACCUCAUCCUCAUCCUCCUCCUCCUCCUCACUUUUUUCACAUGCCACCAUGAUUGAAAUUGAUGACGAUGAGGGUUUAAACCGAACAGCUAUCUUCAAAACCAAAGAUGAACUUUUACUAGAGGAUCUUCCUGCGGUGGAGGAGCUGAAUGUGUCAUUACCAGAUGCUGUUGCGCUAACACCAGUAGGAACAGUAUCCAGCAUUAUACAGAAGCUUGUAAUAAUCCAGUCUCUGAAAGACACAACCCCUUUGACCGAUGACAGCAUCAUCUUUCGAGCUGAUCGACUAGCUUUGGGCAAGGUUUUUGAAAUUUUCGGUCCUGUAUCCAGUCCCCUCUAUGUUUUGCGUUUUAACUCGCCAGAGGAAUUGAGCAACAAGGGGCUGACACUUGGCUUGACCGUUUAUUGUGCACCAGAUAUGGGAGAGUACACAGGAUACAUUCUCAUUCAACAUCUUAAACUUUUAAAGGGCUCUGAUGCAUCCUGGAAAAAUGACCAAGAACCUCCAGAAGAGGCUUUGGACUACAGUGAUGACGAGAAGGAGCAGCAAGCUAAAAAAGCGAAAAACUCCAGAAAGAAGCAGAAAAACUACAAAGAAAACCAUGCUCAGGGCACUGCACGCCAUGAGCAGCAUCGCCAAGGUGUCACAGGUGCAACACAAACACAUACUGGGGCUCAGUUCAGCCACCAGAACUUGAACAAUAUCCAACCAGCCUUUCCGCAUUCUCAUCCACCGCCUCAGCACACACAUUUUCCUCCUAUGUACCCCACAUCUCCCUACCUUUACCCACCCCUUCCUCCACCUCCAAUUGCUUUUCCUCUUUACCCACCGCCUCCAUCGUUUUUCACUCCAUCAUACUCCUCCGCACCCUGGCUACAUAAUGUCCCUUUCUCACAAAUUCCUCCGCCGGCCCCUCCUCCUGAGUGAAACUUAGCAUACUGUUGGGAGUUUCAUAUACUCUAUAUGUAUACUGUCACCUGGAGUUAUUACAAAACCCAGUACAAAAAUGUUUAAAUUAAAAAUAUUUUCAAAAUGUAAAUUUUUAGAGGAUGGACUUUUUUCUAAUACAAUGACUAUUUGUAAUAUUAAAUGUGUAGAGAUGCUGUAAGUUUAGGAAACUUUGCAAAGGUAAUUUACAAAGAGUAGAGUCAUUUUUGGAACAGGGAUGUUCCGAUCGAUCGUCCGCCAAUCAGUAUUGUAUUUAUUUUUAGUCUCCCAGCUGACAAGCGACUAGAAGCUACUUACAGUAUGUCUCCAUAAACCUCGUGGAGCCGCUCCUUCAAGUUAAUAAUAAUCACUGCAAAUAAACUGCAUAUUUUAGUAUCUUAGGUACCAUUAUCACUGGAGGACAAGGCUGAACAUGUUGCACACCGGGAGAUGGCAUGCUAAUAGACAAGCUAACUGCUAAGCUAGCCUCAAACAACACCAAGAAAAAAAGUAUUUAGUAAAGUAUAAGAAGUGUAGCUAGAACCACAUUACAGCAGAAAGUAAAUAGGAAAUUAAUACGAGUCUAGAGAGAGGAUAAUAUAACAACUGUUGGUUGUCACAGUCAGUAAGAGGAGGGCGGAUCAAUCCAUAAAUUGAUGGUGUCGAUACCAAGGGUAGUGUCAGUAUGUUAUCCCUACUAGAGGUAUUAGGUCGAUAUUUUUAUUUCCUCAAAAUAUUUUUUGGGAUUGUUUUUGUUAUUAUUGUCAGCUCAGGCAAUACUUCCCUAAACACAGCAGGACUUUGAGGGCAAAAACCAAAAGAUUUAAACAAGUAGUAAAUUAGUGGUUUUUGAUUUUGUCUAGCUGUUGUUUGCAAUUGACUUUAAUUUGCUCAAACAAUUGUAUGUAAUAAAAACAAAAUUAGGAACUAGUUGAAAUAUUGUGUUGAUAUUGUUAAACUUUCAACAGUACAGACCAUAAAUAAACUGACAUAUUUGUAGUUAACAAAUCAGCUGAUCUCACUCAUGGAUGAUCAACCCUGAUCGGAACAUCCCUAACUUCGAAUGCAAUUUUGUGUGUGUGUAUUUACAAUACAAAUUGGGUGCAAAUGUAUUUUGUUUUCAAAAGAUAAAACAUGUUUUCAUGCGAUUCAAAAACAGUUGUACUGUAUCUAUUACCAAUCAUUAAAAAUAUCUAUACACUGUACUGUAUCUGCGUAGAGACUUAUCCCCUAAUAAUAGAUUUCAGAUUGUAUUGUUGCUGUUCUAGCUAACAAAACGAUAAUGAUGUAAAAAAUAAACAUUAAAUAUGAUUUUAAAUUAAUUUAUGUUUGAUUAAAGGAACUUUGAUCCCCUACCAGCCUGCAAGCAUUCUGAUCCUAACACACCGGUUGUGUGUCCAUAAAACACACUAAUUAUUCUCUUUAAGGAAAAUUCUCAUUAUCUCAAUACAUUAUGUGGAUAAAAGACACUUGUUACAGAAAAAAUAUCUUACAUUUAAACCUCUCCUCCACGACGGGCCAAACCAAAGAGCUGUUAAAUCGCCUCAAGAUUGACAAAGAUCAUUUGUGACUUUAUUUCAUCAAUUAGUUUUAAAGACUAAAAUUGAGUGCACAUGUUUGAAAUUAUUUUGCAUUUUCCACAAUCAAAAUUUCGUAAAAAUUAGACUGUGUUCAGAUAGAGGGCAGCACGGUGGCACAGGAGUUAGUGCAUGUGCCUCACAAUACGAUGGUCCUGAGUAGUCAUGGGUUCGAUCCUGCACUCGGGAUAUUUUCUGUGUGGAGUUUGCAUGUCCUCCCUGUGACUGCGUGUCCAGGGUGUACUCCACAUUCCGCCCGAAUGAAGCUGAGAUAGGCUCCAGCACCCCGACCCCCCGACCCCAAAAGGUACAAGCGGUAGAAAAUGGAUGGAUGUUCAGAUAGUGGCACCUGGCGAUACAAGUGCUCCAGCUUACGAGUUUAUCGGCAUUCAAGUGUACCUGUGGCCAGAUGAGAGGAGCAGGGAGUCACUGUGCAGGGGUGAGACCAGUGACGUGGUGUCAGGGGAGGCAAGUGAGGCGGUGCCUCACCUUGCCACCAGGGGGGUAAAAGGCUUAACCAUGAGAUGUUCAAAAACGAAGUACCGUAAUAAAAUAAAAUGAGUUUUAAUAUUUCUCUUUUGGUUUAUGCUUUCUAUGUGAUUUUGGUGUGGUUCCUGUAUAUUUUGUUAAUUUCCAUGGUCAAAAUUGCGGAAAUUCCGUGUUUCCUGAUGAAAAUAACAAGGCAGACGAGAAGUGAGGCAGACACAGGUGGUGCCUCCACGGCUACACACAAAGUGUACUGAGCAUGUGCAUUCGAGGGGGCGCGUGCUUGUUGCCACGGGGAAAAGGCAGGCUAUGAGGCAGCAAGUACCUCUGCCUCAAAGUAGGGGGCGAUAUAUUGUCAACUUGCACUUCAAAAGUUCAUGAACUGCCAACACCUGUUAACCCUUAAGAAGUAGAAGAAGAAAACAACUGCUACGCUUCCCGCAAACUGUGACGCUUUUUCACCCUAAAAAUGGAGGAUUUGAUUUCUAAAAUAAAACAUUUUUCAAGACGGGACUUUCAAUCACAGCAAGAAUUCAUUAAUACUGGGAGACCAACGCCAGAGCUGCCAGAUUUGAUUCAAACGUGUGGUCCGAGGACAUAAAAUAACUUGUUCAUUUCAAAAGGAUUGGAAUACUGGAAAAGUAUGACUUUGUGGCUGUGCUACAAAAAACAUCUUUAUUGCUUUCCCUGCCUUUUAUUCUCAACGAGUGACCGUGUUUGGACCCAAAUGGGAUAUACUGAGGUGGCGACUUGUCCAGGGUGUACCCUGUCUUCCACCCGAAUGCAGCUGAGAUAGGCUCCAGCACCCCCCUGCCACGAAGCCUCGAAAAGCAUGAAAGCUCAUCUGCCCGCAUUCAAGGAGCUUGCACUUCGUGGCAAUUAUCUCAAAUGAGAAAGAGAGACGUUUAAAACUCAAAUAAAAAGAGGACUUCUACAACAGAGUCAUAGAGAUCUUCGUCCAGAAGGAAAGGCGAAUGGACUUCAUUUACAAGUAAAGCAUAGGGACGGCGUGGCGCAGUGGAAGAAUGGCCGUGCGCGACCCGAGGGUCCCUGGUUCAAUCCCCACCUAGUACCAACCUCGUCAUGUCCGUUGUGUCCUGAGCAAGACACUUCACCCUUGCUCCUGAUGGGUGCUGGUUAGCGCCUUGCAUUGCAGCUCCCUCCAUCAGUGUGUGAAUGGGUAAAUGUGGAAGUAGUGUCAAAGCGCUUUGAGUACCUUGAAGGUAGAAAAGCGCUAUACAAGUACAACCCAUUUAUCAUUUAUCAUUUAUCAUGCUGUGUGUUUCUGUGAUUUUAAGCCAUUGCAUCAUACUGUAUGUUUGUAAAUCUGACGAGUGGGUCAGUGCCUCCCCAACCUCAAACCUCACUGCAAGUCACUGGUGAGACCUGUCCCUUAAGAUGGAACUAGUGAGCCGCUUCAGCUGUUUUAUAUAAAGGGCUUCUGGGUUAGGCUGAUUCUCACCGGUAGUCUUGUUUGUCCAUUUGACAACAUGGCUCAAUGAGUUCCUCCUCUUUAAAGACAGGUUGCCAAACCAUGCCACCAUACUAGGGUUGUCCUGACACCAAUAUU